AUUGAACGCUGGCGGCAUGCCUUACACAUGCAAGUCGAACGGUAACAGGUCUUCGGAUGCUGACGAGUGGCGAACGGGUGAGUAAUACAUCGGAACGUGCCCGAGAGUGGGGGAUAACGAGGCGAAAGCUUUGCUAAUACUGCAUACGAUCUCAGGAUGAAAGCAGGGGACCGCAAGGCCUUGCGCUCACGGAGCGGCCGAUGGCAGAUUAGGUAGUUGGUGGGAUAAAAGCUUACCAAGCCGACGAUCUGUAGCUGGUCUGAGAGGACGACCAGCCACACUGGAACUGAGACACAGCCCAGGCUCCUACGGGAGGCAGCAGUGGGGAAUUUUGGACAAUGGGCGCAAGCCUGAUCCAGCCAUGCCGCGUGCAGGAUGAAGGCCUUCGGGUUGUAAACUGCUUUUGUACGGAACGAAAAGACUCCUUCUAAUAAAGGGGGUCCAUGACGGUACCGUAAGAAUAAGCACCGGCUAACUACGUGCCAGCCGCCGCGGUAAUAC
rnacentral:rRNA from 1 species